UACGUAGGGGGCAAGCGUUGUCCGGAAUUAUUGGGCGUAAAGAGCUUGUAGGUGGUUUGUCGCGUCUGCUGUGAAAAUCCGAGGCUCAACCUCGGACUUGCAGUGGGUACGGGCAGACUAGAGUGUGGUAGGGGAGACUGGAAUUCCUGGUGUAGCGGUGAAAUGCGCAGAUAUCAGGAGGAACACCGGUGGCGAAGGCGGGUCUCUGGGCAGUAACUGACGCUGGAGGAGCGAAAGCGUGGGGAGCGAACAGG
rnacentral:rRNA from 1 species